GUCCACGCCGUAAACGAUGCACACUAGACGUUGGGGCCUCUGACGGUUCCGGCGUCGUAGCAAAAGUGCUAAGUGUGCCGCCUGGGGAGUACGGCCGCAAGGCUAAAACUCAAAGGAAUUGACGGGGCUCACACAAGCGGUGGAGCAUGUGGCUUAAUUCGAAGCAACGCGAAGAACCUUACCCGGGUUUGACAUGCUUGGAUGCCUCCUGGGGAUAACUCAGGUAGGUUGCCCUUCGGGGUGAAACUUGCACAGGUGUUGCAUGGCUGUCGU
rnacentral:rRNA from 1 species